rnacentral:rRNA from 1 species
AUGUAUCAAUUACUAUGGGAUCUUCAUGCCCAAUCCAGGUUGCCGUGGAGAGUAAAUGGCGACUUUAACGAGAUUCUAUUCUCAUCGAAUAAAGAUGGUGGGGCCCCUCGACAUCAAUCUCGUCUUCAAGAUUUUUAGGACGCAAUGUCUGACUGCUCCCUUGAAGACUUGGGUUAUGAGGGAGACAUAUUCACGUGGUUUCGUGGAGGGUUGCUGGAAAGACUCGAUCGGCUAGUGGCGAAUGCUGGAUGGAUGCAGCUACAUCCUUUGGCUGGUGUUUGCAACCUGGAAUAAGGAAAACCGUAUCACCAACCGAUCUUCCUGGAUACGUAUCACGUGGCAGGAAUUGCAGAACAAUGA